UUAAAUUGAAGAGUUUGAUCAUGGCUCAGAUUGAACGCUGGCGGCAGGCCUAACACAUGCAAGUCGAACGGUAACAGAAAGCAGCUUGCUGCUUUGCUGACGAGUGGCGGACGGGUGAGUAAUGUCUGGGAAACUGCCUGAUGGAGGGGGAUAACUACUGGAAACGGUAGCUAAUACCGCAUAACGUCGCAAGACCAAAGAGGGGGACCUUCGGGCCUCUUGCCAUCGGAUGUGCCUAGAUGGGAUUAGCUUGUUGG
rnacentral:rRNA from 1 species